rnacentral:tRNA from 1 species
AGAGACUUAGGUUAAAUCAGACCAACGGCCUUCAAAGCCGUUAGCGGGAGUUAAAAUCCCCCAGUCCCUG